rfam:Flavobacterium succinicans strain DD5b FLB_contig000017, whole genome shotgun sequence.
GCUUAGCCCCGAUUGCAGUGGCAUCCUUGCUUGCCGGGGUUCGACAAGCAAGAUAUAACGUAAAGCGGGACGACUC